CCUGCCCUUAGAGGCAUUGCAGGUGUGGCUGCUGUGUCACAUGUGUGUCAGUAGGGGGCAGAGAGGCUGUGCCUAAGCUCAGUGUUCUGACCUGUGAACAUCUGAAUGACUGGUAGCCUACACA
ensembl:snoRNA Gm25276 predicted gene, 25276